GCCUUCCUUGUCUGGGGGAGCAGAGUGUUCAAUGAUCAAUAAGUGAGACCACUCCUGCUAGCACCCAAUCAAUUUAAAUGAUCGCACCCGCAGCCCUGCGAGUGCAAUUUUUGGAAAG